rnacentral:lncRNA from 1 species
AUGCCCGGGCACCAGCUUGGGCACAGGGUGAUGGCAGAGCCCCACAGCCCCUCAAAGGGAAGGGAUCCCGGUGCCCUGCUCCCUCAUCGCCCCACACCCUCAGAGCAUUCCUGUCCAUGUCCAGUGGCUCCAUCAGGGCUGUUAGCAGCCCCCCUGCCCCCCCUACCACAUUGGGCCCAGCCUGAAUCCCACCGCCCCGCUCCGACCCUCCCAGCCCCACAGCAGAGGGCAGUGCCCCGCUCCUCCUCACACAGCGACCAUUUCCCCUCGCUUCCCCGCAGCGCUCAGCUCCAUUUUAUAGGUCUGCUCUGUCCCAGGGGCAUCGCUGCUGCAGCGCAGCCGCUAAUGAGGUUAUCCCCGACCACGCCACCGAGUUCGCCAUGGAAUGAGAGGGAAAGCGGCGUUAACCCCUGUGCUGCCGGCACAGCGCUGCGCUGCGGAGCAUCUUUGUUCCAAAGUGGUCCCAGCGGCGAGGAGCCCUCGCCUCCGAGCAUCCCCACACCUGCAGAAGCAAUGCAGGUCCUCGUACACCCCGCUAUGGAGCCGGGAUCGGGGGAGCAGCCCCAGCUUUGCUCACGCUUUGUCUCGCAGCAGAGAGGGAUGGCGGAUGGCAGAGGGACGGCAGCCGGGAUAGGGGGCGGUGAGCGCCGCUCCCACCGAGCAGCCCCGCUCUGUUCACCGUCCUCGCGAGUUCACCCCGCCGUGAUGCUCCCACACCGCCCCGAGGGGCCCCACAUGGGAUCCCCACAGCGGGGGGAGCGGAGCAGAGACACCCCCCCCCCCCCCCCCCCAGCCCCCAUCCGCUGCCGACCCGGGACACUGCGGGCACCACGCGCUGCUCCCCGCCCCUCUGCGUGCAGAGCGUGGUGCGGACAGCAGGGGGAGCCAAAGCACCGCGAUGUGCCCGCAGCCCCAUCAUAUCGCAGCCCAUCAUCCCAUCCCAGCUCCAUCAUCCCAUCACAGCCCCAUCCCAGCUCCACCACUGCCUUCAGCUAUGCCAACCCACCCUGGCAUCUACUGCUCCCCAGCCCUCCUCCUCCAUCCUCCAUGCACUGCUCCGUGCAUCUGCUCUGUGGGUGUUCAUCCCUUCCCCAUCUCUCCCUCCAGCCCCACUCCUCUCCCUCCCAGCACACUCCCCCCCUCUGCCCCCUGCCCUGUGGCUCCCAGCAGCCAUUACCCUCCUCUCAGCCCCACACCCCUCCAGCAUUACCAUCUCCUCAGUCCCUAUGA